CAGAAUCAUAUACCAAAGCUCUCUUGCUCAACUUUUGCUGUCCUUUUUCGACAAGUUUUCAGAUAUUAGAACUUCUGGUUCAGAUUAUAGAAUCUCGACAUAUGAAGGACGACAAAAAAGCCAUCAUUUUUGUAGAUCGCUGCCCCUGAUUAUAGAGGAUCCUUUCAAGCG